rnacentral:rRNA from 1 species
GCAAUGCCGCGUGCAGGAUGAAGGCCUUCGGGUUGUAAACUGCUUUUGUACGGAACGAAACGGUGAGCUCUAAUACAGUUUGCUAAUGACGGUACCGUAAGAAUAAGCACCGGCUAACUACGUGCCAGCAGCCGCGGUAAUACGUAGGGUGCGAGCGUUAAUCGGAAUUACUGGGCGUAAAGCGUGCGCAGGCGGUUAUAUAAGACAGAUGUGAAAUCCCCGGGCUCAACCUGGGACCUGCAUUUGUGACUGUAUAGCUAGAGUACGGUAGAGGGGGAUGGAAUUCCGCGUGUAGCAGUGAAAUGCGUAGAUAUGCGGAGGAACACCGAUGGCGAAGGCAAUCCCCUGGACCUGUACUGACGCUCAUGCACGAAAGCGUGGGGAGCAAACAGGAUUAGAUACCCUGGUAGUCCACGCCCUAAACGAUGUCAACUGGUUGUUGGGUCUUCACUGACUCAGUAACGAAGCU